CCUACGGGUGGCAGCAGUGAGGAAUAUUGGUCAAUGGACGAAAGUCUGAACCAGCCAAGUAGCGUGAAGGAUGACUGCCCUAUGGGUUGUAAACUUCUUUUAUAUGGGAGUAAAAUGUUCCACGUGUGGGAUUUUGUAUGUACCAUAUGAAUAAGGAUCGGCUAACUCCGUGCCAGCAGCCGUGGUAAUACGGAGGAUCCGAGCGUUAUACGGAUUUGUGUGGCUAAAAGUGAGCGUAGGUGGCUUGUUAAGACAGUUGUGAAAUUUUGCGGCUUAACCUGAGAACCGCAUUUGAAACUGCUUGGCUAGAGUGCGUCAGAGGGAGGUGGAAUUCCACGUGUAGCAGUGAAAUGCGUAGAUAUGUGUAAGAACACCGAUGGCGAAGGCAGCCUCCUGGGACGCAACUGACGCUCAUACACGAAGGCGUGGGGAGCAAACAGGAUUAGAUACCCGAGUGUC
rnacentral:rRNA from 1 species